UCCGCAAGGUAAGGACGUGCGCCUCUCCGCCUUUCGGAUUUAUCCUCUAACAUCUGUGAUAAUACUUGAGAUUUUGUCUAGAAACUAUUCUAACCGUGGUCUCUUUUUGUUACAGUUGAUACUGCGACAAGAUGCGAGCAAAGUGGAGGAAGAAGCGUAUGCGCAGGCUGAAGCGUAAGCGCAGGAAGAUGCGUGCGAGGUCCAAGUAGACUGCUUUCCACUACCUUAUCCCCUUUUACUAUACAAAUUGACAGUGAACCAUGAGACCAUCUUGAACUGCCACUUUUUUUUUAUCAAUAAAAUGUGAAAGGGGAAAAUAUAA